rnacentral:rRNA from 1 species
UACGAAGGGGGCUAGCGUUGUUCGGAAUUACUGGGCGUAAAGCGCACGUAGGCGGAUAUUUAAGUCAGGGGUGAAAUCCCGGGGCUCAACCCCGGAACUGCCUUUGAUACUGGGUAUCUCGAGUCCGAGAGAGGUGAGUGGAAUUCCGAGUGUAGAGGUGAAAUUCGUAGGUAUUCGGAGGAACACCAGUGGCGAAGGCGGCUCACUGGCUCGGUACUGACGCUGAGGUGCGAAAGCGUGGGGAGCAAACGGG